rnacentral:rRNA from 1 species
CCGUGAUGAACUAACCGUCUGUCGCUGGGGAGGAGUUCCGAUUGGGAAAUUGCAGCAAAAAAUUUUCCUCUAACUUUGUCUUUCUUAGUUUUUAUUCUUAUUAAAAAAUAAGAAUAAAAAUUAAUCAAAGGUUAGGGAUUUUUUAAUAAAAUAUGCACAAUAAUUUUAAUAACACUUGCCAGAUGUUUAAUUUAAAAAAUUAAAUUAAACAAAAGUGAACGCCGCUCAUUUUACUUAUGGUUUUAUGACCUAGUAACCGGAUACGUGUUAAAAAAUUUUUUGCGCCUAAUAAAAAAAAAAUUAGGCAAAAAAAAUAAAAAAAUCUGGGGCUACUGCUUUGUUUAUAUUUUAUUAAAAUAUAUUUAAACGUGCGCGGUUAUGUUUAAGGUUGUAUCUAUCAGUUAAUCGCUUUAGCUUUAUACAUUUAGUUUACUGUUUGUAGAUUGAUGUUCGAUGAACCCUUCUGAGUAACAUCUCAAAAGUCAUAGCAAGGUAGCUUGUACUGGAA